UUUUUCUGAUUUAUAACUAUACUAAAAUAUAUAUUGUUUGAAACAUCUUCUUGACUUUGAACAUUAAAACAAAUGUAGUAGAACUUAUAUUUUCAAAGAACUCUGACAAAUCAGGUAGUUCAUUCCAGCCUCUACAACAAAUUGUUUUUAAUAUCAUAUGUUUUAGCUGGUGUUUAUAUUUAGUCAUGUUUGGACAUGUCUUCCUGAAUUCACCUAACUUGUGAAAAUUGAGAAAAUUGGUUUAGGUAAUAUUAGAGAUUUGUAUAGUUUCUUUAUACUUUGGGAGACAGAGUAGUUUGACUACUUCAGAUGGGGAGGAAAAAAAUAGUCACAUCUUUUCUUUUAAAAGUGCCUCAAAAACCUCUAAGGAGCAUAUAAAGCCACAUUAACUGUGUGGCACUUUUCCGUUAUAAAUCCAUUCGGUUUGACAGCAUGAGCAUAUAAUCUCCCAUGGCAAUCUCUCCUGACAUCACCACACAGAAAGGCAGCUAGAACACUUUCAAGGACAGAACAAUUACAUAUGCUCCCCAAAAUUAUUGGGAGAAUUUGGGAUGAAAAGGUGACUGAACACUAGUACAAGAAUGAUAAACCAGCACAUUUGAACACAGAAGUAAAUGUCAAGGUACUGCAAAAAUCUCUUUUCUACCUCCAUCCUGAAUGUGAUGUAUUUAUCUGGCCAAAGAACCCAGUGCCCCUCAGCCCCUCCUUGGCAUCAGCACAGCUAGAGCCCGACAGGAGUUUAAAGCUCCAGAGAUCUUUAGGAGAAGACAGCAACCAAGGCUUCCCUUCUCCCUCCAAAAAGUGAAACCUAUUGCAUUACAGAAUACUCUCUGCAUGAGAAAACGGGCUGCCCGUGCACCCUACUCCUCCGCCCAGCCCGCUCUCCUCGUCCCCUGCCCCGUGCAUCUCUAGCAGCAAUUCUGUCGUGGCAAAGACUUUGCUGUGAUUGGGGAAUUCUUCAGCAACGAAGUUUCUUGAUGCUUCCCGAAAGCAUUCAUGGGCGCUUACUUCCUGCCG
rnacentral:lncRNA from 1 species